rnacentral:rRNA from 1 species
UCCGGAGAGGCAGCCUGAGAGACGGCUACCACGUCCAAGGACGGCAGCAGGCACGCAAAUUACCCAAUCCCAGCAACUGGGGGAGGUAGUGACGAAAUCUAACGAUGCGGGCGCCCUAUUUGGGGCCCCGCAAUCGGAAUGAGCACUUUCUAAACAACCUGUUGAGAACCUACUGAAGGGCAAGUCUGGUGCCAGCAGCCGCGGUAAUUCCAGCUUCAGCAGCAUCUAUUAAAGUUGCUGCGGUUAAAAGGCUCGCAGUUGAAUGUCAGUAUCGAGCGCAGGUCAGGUGGACGAUGGGGCGUGGGAACACAAGGCGCGGUACGGGCCCUUGCCUCGCGCUUGUGGUACCGGCCGUGUCUCUCACAUACCCCCGUCCGUUACAAGCCUCCUCGCUCGCGUACAUAUCGGAAUUGGUCAAACGGAGUGUGCGCAGUCUCUCGCGUUUCUCGUCCUCAGGCCGCGUUCGCGCGUGUCGGUUGGCGGGUGCGUGCGGGGACUCGCACGUUAAGCUCCUUCGGUUUCAUGGUCACCUUGAGUAAAUCAGAGUGCUCAAAGCAGUCGUAGGGGCCUUGCGCCCUGUGAACAGUCUUGACGGACUGACUUGGUUUUGCAUGGCAUGUCGGAAGACGACGUCGUGUGCUGGCUCAGAGAUUAUCAGUGGUGCAAGCCAGCCUCGACGUACUGAUUAACAGGGACGGUCGAGGGCAUUGGUAUUGCGAGGCGAGAGGUGAAAUUCUAUGACCCCCGCAAGACCUCCUGAAGCGAAAGCGUCUGCCAAGGACGUUUUCAUUAAUCAUGAACGAAAGUUAGAGGAU